rnacentral:rRNA from 1 species
AUAUUAACUGUGCAAAGGUAGCAUAAUCAUUAGUUUUUUAAUUGAAAGCUAGAAUGAAUGGUUGGACGAGAUAUAAACUGUUUUUAUCUAAUUAAUAUAGAAUUUUAUUUUUUAGUUAAAAAGCUAAACUGUAAUUAAAAGACGAGAAGACCCUAUAGAUCUUUAUAUUAUAAUUUAUUAAGACUAAUAAGACAAUUUUUGUUUUAAUAAAAGAAAUAUUUUGUUGGGGAGACAUAAAGAUUUUAUAAACUCUUUUAUAUAAUUACAAUAAUUUUUGAAUAUUUGAUCCAUUUUUAUUGAUUAAUAAAUUAAGUUACCUUAGGGAUAACAGCGUAAUUUUUUUGGAGAGUUCAUAUCGAUGAAAAAGUUUGCGACCUCGAUGUUGGAUUAA